rnacentral:rRNA from 1 species
CGUGGGUAAUCUGCCCUGAAGUGGGGAAUAACACCGGGAAACCGGUGCUAAUACCGCAUACGAUCACAGAGUCUGCGGAUUUUGUGAUGAAAGGAGCAAUUCGCUUUAGGAGGAGCCCGCGGCUGAUUAGCUAGUUGGCGAGGUAAUGGCUCACCAAGGCAACGAUCAGUAUCCGGUCUGAGAGGACGGUCGGACACACUGGAACUGAGACACGGUCCAGACUCCUACGGGAGGCAGCAGUGGGGAAUUUUUGGCAAUGGGGGCAACCCUGACCAAGCAACGCCGCGUGGGUGAUGAAGUCUCUUGGGACGUAAAACCCUUUCGACGGGGAAGAAACCGCAAGGUUGACGGUACCCGUAGAAGAAGCCCCGGCUAACUCCGUGCCAGCAGCCGCGGUAAUACGGGGGGGGCAAGCGUUGUUCGGAAUUACUGGGCGUAAAGGGCGCGUAGGCGGUUCGCUAAGUUGGAUGUGAAAACUCUGGGCUCAACCCAGAGCCUGCAUCCAAAACUGGCGGGCUAGAGUUCUGGAGGGGGUAGCGGAAUUCCUGGUGUAGCGGUGAAAUGCGUAGAUAUCAGGAGGAACACCGGUGGC